CUAGGUACGUAGACUGCAGAAAUGAGUAUGUUGAGAUCCCUGCUCUCAAAAGUCUUUUUGGUUAAAGAAUGGAAAGAGUGACUGAGAGAAGCUACUAUUUAUUGAUGCUUUUCUGUUUAUCGAUGCUUUCCAUUGGUUAUCCAUAACCCUUCUGCAAGCCUAAAAUGUGGAUAUUACACUCCCAUUUUACAGUGAAGAAAAUUGAUCAUCAAAGAUAUAGGUCAUUGAUCCAAGAUCACACAACUAUAAAAUGAUUAAGUCAAGUUGGAACCCUGCUCUCAGAUUCAAAGUCAGUCUUCCUUUCACUGUAGAACAUCUAUUCUAGAAUGACUAUGAGACAAGAGGUAGAAGCCUGAGAGAGCUUACUCAUCAAAUUCCAUAAAAUCAGACCUGGAAGGGUCCUCAGAGUUGAUGGGUUUCAACUGCCUCAUUUUACAAAUGAAGAAAUGGAGAUUUGGGGAAGUUAAGUUGAUAUGAUAUCCCAAGGGCAGGGUAAAGAUUUGAAUCCACUUGAGUUGGAUUCUCAAGUCUGGGGUUUUCACCACAUCAGGAUCCUCCCAGAAGUGAAAGCCUCACCUUCGGUGUAGAAGGAUAAGGCCACAGCCUGGUGGGCCAGGUGGACCGAGCAAGAAGAGGUCCAGAGCUCAGCUGCUAUGGACAUCCUCACGGUUGCACCCAGGGCCACCCCAGCCCCUGGCAUAUGGGGCUGACAAAGGAGAGACAAAGUCACGCCAGCAUACUGAGCACUUCAACAAAGGAGAGAUUGCCUCAUUCCUAGUCCCUAGGCUCCAGCCCCUCCACUCCCACACUCCCUCCCUGCUUCUCUACAUCUCACUAUGGAUAACAUUCUCCACGGCAAACACCAAUCAUAUAUCCCACCAAAAUGUUCUAGAAACUCCUGAGUUGUGCAAUAUCUAAAUCACUGGCUCCAAGCUCUGUCUCCCACCCAUUAAAACACGAGAAUUAUCCUGCCUUGGGAUCAUUGUCUUUAUAAUCCAACUGUGUCUUUAUUC
rnacentral:lncRNA from 1 species